GAUUUGCUCCCUGGAACGGUGGCAGCGCCUGGGAACGCAGACCCGGCCCCAGCUGGCCCGCGCCUUCCUCGAGGCCCCGGCCAGCAGCGACCCCGACCGCCGCCCUCUGCUGCUGCUGGAGAGGCACCGGGGUGACCUUGGCCCUUUCUUCUUCUGGAAGACCCCGCCGCUUCCCUCGGCUGCCGGACCGGGACUCUGGGCCUCUGCUGGGAACUCACAGUCGACACCAGGAUGCCCAGAGCCAGGACCAACUCCUCAUCUUCUGGGAUCAGAAGAGAUCCGCGCGGGCCUGAGUUAGGCCUGGGCUUUCCCGGGUUCCCUGGAUCUCCACCAGCCUGUGCCUUUGAGUGUCAGAGUACGUUUUUUGGCAAAGGACAACUCCUGACGCUCCCUCUCCCUCUUCCAUACACAAAGCAUGCGUUUUCCACAGGUCUGAUGAUGCUGUGGACGUCUAAUAGCUAUUACAAAAUGGAGAAUCAUGGGUUUUUCCCCUUGGGCUUUGAGUUUACUAGUGAAAGCAUAGUUCGAAAUGAAUACUUAAAAAGAAAUCCCUCCUUCCACCCUAAGAUCAAUGGAUUUGAAAAGUGCCUGGUUUAUAUGAUCAAAACCACCCCUCUGUAAAUUACAAGCAAUAAGGAAAACAAUUUCACUUUAUUUUGCAGUAACGCAUUCCCACUAAGGCAAUUAAGAAAGUCAUGCACAAUGAAAAACGUGUGAAACCAGCUCCAGCCUGGUUCAAACAUCACCAUGGGGUGGAGUUUGGUGUCUCAUCUUAUAGCUCUUUCCCAGUUCUCUGACCAGGCACUAAGAACAUAAUUUGUGAUCCUUUGAAAUAUCACCAAAGUGGAAAUUAAGAGAUCUGAUGAGGACAUCUGAUUCACCUGGCAGCUGGGUAUAUGCCUCUUUGCCUAUCCAGACAGCCUAAUUCCCAAGAAGGGGCUGAGAGGGCCUAAGGUAGUCGAGACAUAAUGGGAUUUACCAGGAACACAACAUAGAAGAGAAAAGCCAAGGGAAGUUGGGGGUGGAGUGAGGGCCCUUGAGCUCAGCAAACCUCUUUUCCACUGUAGCCCUUAGUGGUGUUAAUAUUUAAUAUGCAAACUUAAAGGUUUCAUGCUGAUUUUCCUGUGAAUGGCUCUUGACUCCAGACCCAGAUAGCCACAGAGCAAGAUGACAAGCUCGCUAAUAAGCUCUGUUGGGGAGGUCUAAGCCCAGGCCAGAGCUUUGAAGUGAGAAAUAACAAGUCCAGUUUAAAUAGUGCUGCUGGGAUGGACUUUUGUGGCCAGGGAAGGGGUACCCAGGAGCCAGUGUGGCCACUGACCCAGCCUCAUCAAUGGCCCUAGGAUCCAGAAUGCUACAAACAAUGGAGCAAGAAUCAGAUCCGUGUGUCUGGGCUGGAAUGCAAUGGUGUGAUCUUGGCUCACUGCGACCUCCACCUCCUGGGUUCAAGCGAUUCUCCUGCUUCUGCCUCCUGAGUAGCUGGGAUUACAGACAAAGAAUUCAAGACUAAACUGGGCAUGGUAGCACGCACCUGUAGUCUCAGCUACUUGGGAGGCUGAGGCAGGAGAAUCGCAUGAACCUGGCAGGCGGAGGUUGCGGUGAGCCGAGAUUGCGCCACUGCACUCCAGCCUGGCCACAGAGCGAGACUCCGUCUCAAAAAAAAAAAAAAAAGAAGUCAAGACUAAGAAGAGUGAAGUAUGAAGUAAUUCACCCACAGACACCCAGCUAGUAAGUGGCAGACCUGGAAGACAAACUAGUUCUUUUUGGCAUCAGAAUCCAUGCUGUCAGCCAUCUCACCACAUUCAUGUGACAUCCAACAAAGUGGUGCCUUCACCUGCUACUAAGUCUUGCUAGGGCUAGUUCCAGAGCCAAGACUAUGAAGUGGACAAUGAUCUAUGAAGCGCUAAGUGAACAGAUGUCAUGUAAAUAGCUUGGAUCUCUACGUGCAUGUGUGCAUUGUAUAUGUUUACCAAAGACCUUGUUACAGUGUUUUUAGGCAUGGGUCACUUUAUAAAGGUCGUCACAGUUGGCCAA